rnacentral:rRNA from 1 species
UACAGAGGGUGCGAGCGUUGUCCGGAAUCACUGGGCGUAAAGGGCGCGUAGGUGGCGACCCAAGUCUGUGGUGAAAGCUCGACGCUCAACGUCGAGUCGGCCAUAGAUACUGGGUUGCUUGAGCACUGUAGAGGCAGAUGGAAUUCCGGGUGUAGCGGUGGAAUGCGUAGAGAUCCGGAAGAACACCGGUGGCGAAGGCGGUCUGCUGGGCAGUUGCUGACACUGGAGGCGCGACAGCGUGGGGAGCAAACAGGG